UACGUAGGGGGCAAGCGUUGUCCGGAAUCAUUGGGCGUAAAGAGCGUGUAGGCGGUCCGGUCAGUCGGUUGUGAAAGUCAAGGGCUCAACCCUUGAAUGCCGGCCGAUACUGCCGGGCUAGAGUCCGGAAGAGGUGAGUGGAACUCCUGGUGUAGCGGUGAAAUGCGCAGAUAUCAGGAAGAACACCAAUGGCGAAGGCAGCUCACUGGGACGGUACUGACGCUGAGGCGCGAAAGCGUGGGGAGCAAACAGG
rnacentral:rRNA from 1 species